AGGUGAUGGAGAAGGAGACUUGUAUGAUUUAGGUUUCUAGAAUGGGUCGUAUCAAGUUUGGCUUGACUUGGACUCAUUCUUUUUGACCUAAAUUAGACUCGGAUGAUAUAGGGGCUGGACCAAGUUAAAAAAUAUGAGACCUAGAUCAUUUCUUUAUUUCUUUUACAAAAAAAUCUAUGUAAUAUCAUUUGUCAAUUCUUUAUCUUUCCU
rnacentral:lncRNA from 1 species